GUUUCCAUAUCCAGAAAACCAAAAUGAAUAUGACUUCAAACCAAAAGUGCUCAUCAGGUUAUGGAAACGUUAAAAUAUUAAGUUUUUAUUGUUUUUUAUUUUUGAGAAAAAGUUUGUAUUGUUAAUUAGACACUGAAUAGCAUAUCGAUAGUACAUGAUAUAUGACCGUAUAUGUCACUAAAUGACUCGGAAGUUCUUAUUUACAUUGUUGCAAUUUAUUGUGUAUAAUUCAACCUGCUUGUGACACAUAUAUGAUAUAUAUGAAAUUCAUGAGGAACGUACUUGGCUAGAGCUCCAGCCUCCAUGGCCCCCAUUUGAGAGAUCUUUCCAUCCAACGAAUGCUGAAGCACAUAAGAACGUCGAGUACUACCGAUUAGGAAGCGUGUGUAUCAUCAGACGUCACAAGCUGCUCCUCGAGACUUUGAGCCGACCUGUAUUAAAAAUCUUUAAAAAAAUAUAUGGUCCAGGGCCCCGACAAACUUUGAGCAGGCC
rnacentral:lncRNA from 1 species